AACGAACGCUGGCGGCAUGCCUAACACAUGCAAGUCGAACGAGACCUUCGGGUCUAGCGGCGCACGGGUGCGUAACGCGUGGGAACCUGCCCUUAGGUUCGGAAUAACUCCCCGAAAGGGGUGCUAAUACCGGAUAAUGUCUUCGGACCAAAGAUUUAUCGCCUUUGGAUGGGCCCGCGUUGGAUUAGCUAGUUGGUAGGGUAAAAGCCUACCAAGGCGACGAUCCAUAGCUGGUCUGAGAGGAUGAUCAGCCACACUGGGACUGAGACACGGCCCAGACUCCUACGGGAGGCAGCAGUGGGGAAUAUUGGACAAUGGGCGAAAGCCUGAUCCAGCAAUGCCGCGUGAGUGAUGAAGGCCUUAGGGUUGUAAAGCUCUUUUACCCGGGAUGAUAAUGACAGUACCGGGAGAAUAAGCACCGGCUAACUCCGUG
rnacentral:rRNA from 1 species